rnacentral:rRNA from 1 species
GUGCCAGCCGCCGCGGUAAUACGUAAGGGGCAAGCGUUGUUCGGAAUUACUGGGCGUAAAGGGUACGUAGGCGGAUUGCCAAGUUGAAUGUGAAAUCUUCGGGCUCAACCCGGAAACUGCGUCCAAAACUGGCAGUCUAGAAUCUGGGAUAGGAAAACGGAAUUCCUAGUGUAGGAGUGAAAUCUAUAGAUAUUAGGAAGAACACCGAUGGCGUAGGCAGUUUUCUGACCCAAGAUUGACGCUGAGGUACGAAAGCUAGGGGAGCGAACGGGAUUAGAUACCCCGGUAGUCCUAGCCGUAAACGUUGUAUACUAGGUGUAUGAGGCAUCGAUCCCUCAUGUGCCGAAGCUAACGCAUUAAGUAUACCGCCUGGGGAGUAUGCUCGCAAGAGUGAA